rnacentral:rRNA from 1 species
GACGUAGGGCGCGAGCGUUGUCCGGAUUUAUUGGGCGUAAAGAGCUCGUAGGCGGCUUGUCGCGUCGACUGUGAAAACCCGCGGCUCAACUGCGGGCCUGCAGCUGAUACGGGCAGGCUAGAGUUCGGUAGGGGAGACUGGAAUUCCUGGUGUAGCGGUGAAAUGCGCAGAUAUCAGGAGGAACACCGGUGGCGAAGGCGGGUCUCUGGGCCGAUACUGACGCUGAGGAGCGAAAGCGUGGGGAGCGAACAGG